rnacentral:rRNA from 1 species
CCUACGGGAGGCAGCAGUGGGGAAUAUUGGACAAUGGGCGAAAGCCUGAUCCAGCCAUGCCGCGUGUGUGAAGAAGGCCUUCGGGUUGUAAAGCACUUUCAGUGGGGAAGAAAGCCUUGGGGCUAAUACCCUCGAGGAAGGACAUCACCCACAGAAGAAGCACCGGCUAACUCCGUGCCAGCAGCCGCGGUAAUACGGAGGGUGCGAGCGUUAAUCGGAAUUACUGGGCGUAAAGCGCGCGUAGGCGGUCUGAUAAGCCGGUUGUGAAAGCCCCGGGCUCAACCUGGGAACGGCAUCCGGAACUGUCAGGCUAGAGUGCAGGAGAGGAAGGUAGAAUUCCCGGUGUAGCGGUGAAAUGCGUAGAGAUCGGGAGGAAUACCAGUGGCGAAGGCGGCCUUCUGGACUGACACUGACGCUGAGGUGCGAAAGCGUGGGUAGCAAACAGGAGUAGAUACCCGUGUAGUC